rnacentral:snoRNA from 1 species
AAGACUAUACUUUCAGGGAUCAUUUCUACAGUUUGUUACUAGGAUGUAUUUUAAAUGAAGCUUGCAUAAUUGUCUUUUCAAUCUUACCAG